GUCGUUGUAGUAUAGUGGUGAAUAUUCCCGCCUGUCACCCGGGCGACCCGGGUUUUCAAUCCCUCGCGACGACG
rnacentral:tRNA from 1 species